rnacentral:tRNA from 1 species
CAUUAGGUGACUGAAAGUAAGUAAUGGUCUCUUAAACCAUAAAACAGUAGAUUCACACCUACUCCUAAUGG